CCCUACGGGAGGCAGCAGUAGGGAAUCUUCCACAAUGGGCGAAAGCCUGAUGGAGCAACGCCGCGUGGGUGAAGAAGGUCUUCGGAUCGUAAAACCCUGUUGUUAGAGAAGAAAGUGCGUGAGAGUAACUGUUCACGUUUCGACGGUAUCUACCCAGAAAGCCACGGCUAACUACGUGCCAGCAGCCGCGGUAAUACGUAGGUGGCAAGCGUUAUCCGGAUUUAUUGGGCGUAAAGGGAACGCAGGCGGCCUUUUAAGUCUGAUGUGAACGCCUUCGGCUUAACCGGAGUAGUGCAUUGGAAACU
rnacentral:rRNA from 1 species